GAUGAACGCUCGCGGCAGGCUUAACACAUGCAAGUCGAGGGGUAUUUAUCUUCGGAUAGAGAGACCGGCGCACGGGUGCGUAACGCGUAUGCAAUCUACCUUUUACAGAGGGAUAGCCCAGAGAAAUUUGGAUUAAUACCUCAUAGUAUAUAGACUCGGCAUCGAGAUUAUAUUAAAGUCACAACGGUAAAAGAUGAGCAUGCGUCCCAUUAGCUAGUUGGUAAGGUAACGGCUUACCAAGGCUACGAUGGGUAGGGGUCCUGAGAGGGAGAUCCCCCACACUGGUACUGAGACACGGACCAGACUCCUACGGGAGGCAGCAGUGAGGAAUAUUGGACAAUGGGCGCAAGCCUGAUCCAGCCAUGCCGCGUGCAGGAUGACGGUCCUAUGGAUUGUAAACUGCUUUUAGACGAGAAGAAACACUGCUACGUGUAGCAGCUUGACGGUAUCGGAAGAAUAAGGAUCGGCUAACUCCGUG
rnacentral:rRNA from 1 species